rnacentral:rRNA from 1 species
AUACGGAGGGUGCAAGCGUUGUUCGGAAUUACUGGGCGUAAAGCGCACGUAGGUGGUUCAUUAAGUCAGAUGUGAAAGCCCCGGGCUCAACCUGGGAACUGCAUUUGAAACUGGUGAGCUAGAGUAUGGUAGAGGUAAGUGGAAUUCCAGGUGUAGCGGUGAAAUGCGUAGAUAUCUGGAGGAACAUCAGUGGCGAAGGCGACUUACUGGACCAAUACUGACACUGAGGUGCGAAAGCGUGGGGAGCAAACAGGAUUAGAAACCCCAGUAGUCC